rnacentral:lncRNA from 1 species
CCUACUCAAGAUGGAGUCGCUCUGGUUUGAACGCCUCUGACACUUCCACUCUCAAGGAAUGGUGUUUUUAUUCUCUUCUCCCCAGAAUGUACUUCUGGUCUGUCCCGCUGUUCCAUUCCACAGCAUUUUAGGAGGUUCUCAAGAGUGUCCUAAACAAGCAGAGAAGAAUGGUGAGACUUACCCAUUCCUAGUUUAAGAAAUGAGUGAAAUGGGGUCUGAGUUAUAUCACAGCUACAGUUUAGACUCCUGUGGUACAGUUGGCUUUCCCAGGCUCCCGGCGUCCAUGCUGUCUCGGCGCUAUCUCGCAGCCUGACGCCACGCGCCAUCUGCUGGCCUUGAGCUGCAUAGCUCUAGAGUAACUUCAGAGGCCACGGGGGAACAAAGAGCACUCGCCUACUUGACUGAGCUCCGACAGGCCGUCCCUCUGCUUCAGGUGUAGGCGUGAACAAGUCCAGACCACUACCUUAACAGUAACAAGUACUUGACACAUGUCCUUGGUCUAGAAAGGAUGGAGGAGCCACAGACAGCUGAGGUGCAGGCUCCAGCUCAAUGGCCUGUCAUUACAAGAGGCUCUUGGAGUUUCUGAUCUUCUUCGCCUCUCUCUAUGCCCAACCCUGUCUAGAGUGCACCUCAGCAUGAUUUUAGAAAACAGCAUGGAGAAAGAGAAGUUGAGGCCAGUCUUUCUCCUCCGAUCACCAAGUAUCUAUUAAAAGCCAUUCCCUCCAAAAAAAAAAAAAAAAAAAAAAAA